AUAGCGGAUAAGGCUGAAUUUUGAACUUAAAAUCUGUACAUUGACCACCUGAUAGCCCUACUUGCUAGCCACCACCUGGAUGCUCUACUAGCGGCCUGCAGCUAAUCACCUGCAUGAUCUAUUGCUAGCCUGCUGUUGGAACUACUGCUGUUAGCCUGCUGUCAGCUGCUUGCUAGUCGCCUCUUGGAUGCUCUGUUGCUACCCUGCUACUGGUGGCUCUGCUGCUACCCUGCUGUUGAUAGCUUUGCUUUAUAGCCUGCUGCUGGUAGCUUUGCCUGCUAGCUACCACCUGGAUGCUUUGUUGCUAGCCCCGCUAGCUAGCCACUACCUGGAUUCUUUUGCUGCUGGCCCCACUAGCUAGCCACCACCUAGAUGCUCUGCUGCUAGCUCCACCAGCUAGCCACCACCUGGAUGCUCUGCUGCUAGCCCCACUAGCUAGCCACCAUCUGGAUGCCUUGCUGCUAGCCCCACUAGCUAGCCACCACCUGGAUGCUCUGCUGCUAGCCCCACCAGCUAGCCACUAUCUGGGUGCUUUGCUGCUAGCUCCACUAGAUAGCCACCACCUGGAUGCCCUGCUGCUAGCCCCACUAGCUAGCCACCACCUGGAUGCUAGCCCCACUAGCUAGCUACUACCUGGAUUCCCUGCUGCUAGUCCCACUAGCUAGCCACCACCUGGAUUCCCUGCUGCUAGUUUUUGUUACUGAUAGCUCUACUUCUAGCUUGCUAUCUUGCUUGCUAGCUAUCACCUGGAAGCCUGCUAGCCUUCAUCCUAUAGCCCUGACCUUUUGAUUCCAGGCUACUGUUCACCCGUUAGGACUGUCUUCAACUAAACCUGAAGCCUGUAGCUGAUUCAAAUUCAAAGCUUUGACGUUGGCGUUCAGGACAUCUGCUGGAUCACAUAAGGUCUACAUUGCCUCUCGUCUUGGACAUCGAGGUAGAGUCUGGCGGUCCAUCACAACGAGACGCUAUCUCCCAUCUAUCUGGCUAAUGAGCGGGAGGGAAGAACCUGCUUGAGGACUUGUUGAUAUUUGUCCUUCUCUGACUGGCUUUCUGAGAGUUUGCGAUUAGCGCACGGCACGUUCACUUGCUUUUGAAGCUCCAGGACGUUAGCCAUCCUGGAAGAGGAACGAUAAGGAGAUUCUGGAGUUUGGGCUUCGCGGUCAUAAAACAAAGACAUCGUAUGUUGCUCGUACAGAGAGAUUCUCAGUCCAGUCCAGCAAAAACUACUCAUGGACCAUUGACUUUGAGUUUCCCGGGCAUCGAGUUCAGCUCCACCCAUCAAUCAUCUCUCGCUGCAGUGAUGUACCUGUAAGAGAAUUAUGAAUUGUUUGAGCAUGAGUGUGCGUGUUCAUUUCAGCGUGUGGGCAGAGCAGCGGGCUUGGUAGAAACAAUCCCAUGACAUUGUAACAGCUGAGCCCCCUCAUUUGGGGACGUUUGGCAGGGCGUCAGGAGCACCAGGUGUCCCCUUUGCACCCAGCGCUUUGAAGCGGGCAUGCAUGGACGUCCGACCUGGAAAAGACCUUUCUGUCAAAGAGAACAAGGACUGGGCACAGCGUGUGCCGCACAUGUGGCUCUCCGUUUUAGCUCAUGCCUUUGAGUUUGUGUGUGUGUGUGUGUGUGUGUGUGUUUUAUAGACUGUGAGAAAUGACUGCAAUCUCAGCCCGGAACCGUUGCUGAAAAUGUGAGAAAUGGUGGCUUAACAGCUGUUAUGG